rnacentral:rRNA from 1 species
AGUGAACGCUGGCGGUAGGCCUAACACAUGCAAGUCGAACGGCAGCACAGGAGAGCUUGCUCUCUGGGUGGCGAGUGGCGGACGGGUGAGGAAUGCAUCGGAAUCUACUCUUUCGUGGGGGAUAACGUAGGGAAACUUACGCUAAUACCGCAUACGACCUACGGGUGAAAGCCGGGGACCUUCGGGCCUGGCGCGAAAGAAUGAGCCGAUGCCCGAUUAGCUAGUUGGCGGGGUAAGAGCCCACCAAGGCGACGAUCGGUAGCUGGUCUGAGAGGAUGAUCAGCCACACUGGAACUGAGACACGGUCCAGACUCCUACGGGAGGCAGCAGUGGGGAAUAUUGGACAAUGGGCGCAAGCCUGAUCCAGCCAUACCGCGUGGGUGAAGAAGGCCUUCGGGUUGUAAAGCCCUUUUGUUGGGAAAGAAAAGCAGUCGGUUAAUACCCGAUUGUUCUGACGGUACCCAAAGA